rnacentral:rRNA from 1 species
GAUGAACGCUGGCGGCGUGCCUAAUACAUGCAAGUCGAGCGAACAGACGAGAGUGCUUGCACUCUCUGACGUUAGCGGCGGACGGGUGAGUAACACGUGUGUAACCUACCUAUAAGACUGGGAUAACUUCGGGAAACCGGAGCUAAUACCGGAUAAUAUUUAGCUUCUCAUGAAGCAAUAGUGAAAGACGGUUCUGCUGUCACUUAUAGAUGGACCCGCGGUGUAUUAGCUAGUUGGUGAGGUAACGGCUCACCAAGGCAACGAUACAUAGCCGACCUGAGAGGGUGAUCGGCCACACUGGGACUGAGACACGGCCCAGACUCCUACGGGAGGCAGCAGUAGGGAAUAUUCCGCAAUGGACGAAAGUCUGACGGAGCAAUGCCGCGUGAGUGAAGAAGGUUUUCGGAUCGUAAAACUCUGUUGUAAGGGAAGAACAAGUACGUUAGUAACUGAACGUACCUUGACGGUACCUUAACAGAAAGCCACGGCUAACUACGUG